AUUGAACGCUAGCGGCAGGCCUAACACAUGCAAGUCGAGCGGAGCGGCGGACGGGUGAUUAAUGCCUGGGCGUCUGCCUGGUAGUGGGGGAUAACGUCCGGACACGGGCGCUAAUCCCGCAUACUAUCAGAUGAGCCUAGGUAGGAUUAGCUAGUUGGUGGGGUAAAGGCCUACCAAGGCGACGAUCCGUAACUGGUCUGAGAGGAUGAUCAGUCACACUGGAACUGAGACACGGUCCAGACUCCUACGUGAGUCAGCAGUGGGGAAUAUUGGACAAUGGGCGAAAGCCUGAUCCAGCCAUGGCGCGUGUGUGAAGAAGGUCUUCGGAUUGUAAAGCACUUUACGGUGGGAGGCGUUUACAACAGAAUAAGCACCCGGUAACUUCGUGCCAGCAGCCGCGGUAAUUC
rnacentral:rRNA from 1 species